AUGCUGCCGUUCUACAAGGAGCUGCCUUCGCCCGACCAGCUGGAGGCCCUCCUGAAGGACCACCACACCCGAGCCAAGGCGAACCUGUUCCAUCUGCUGAGGAGGAGGGGCGAAGUGGAGGACCUGAACGACUACACGGCCCCCAUCGAGUCCGAGCCCCGGAGCCCCUGGCACUCCCGCGGCAGUCAGAGUGCCGUUGGCCACUCCGUCACGCUGAGCGUGGACGUCUGGCGCCACAGCUGGCAGGGCGGCACUGAGCACUACCUCACGCUCUGGGCUCACUUCAUAGACUGUAACUUUAGUUUCCACAACCUGGCGCUGGCGACCCGACGGCUGGCUGAAGGCGAGCAGGACAGCUUCCAGGCAGUGGAGAGUCGGGUGAAAGCCGUGGCCCUCGAGUGGGGCAUCUCCCAGCCGAGUCUGGUCCUGCUGGGUGGGCAGUGGAAGAACAGAGCGAGGAGGCCGGUGCAGGGGGGGGACGCUGCAGGAAGCGCCCCUCACCCCAACUCCACGACGUUUCUGGAGAGGGAGGACUCCACGUCGCCCGAUGAAGCGUCUGAGCUCGGCCCAUCCGGCGAAGGGCUCCCUUCCAUCCCCUGCUUCUUCAGCGCCGUGCGGGGCUGCGUCGAGGAGGUGAUGCUGCAUCCCGUCGUCUCCAAAACUCUCCGCCAGUUCCAGCUGUUUCUGUCCGCCCUGUUCCUGCCGCCCGCUCACAGUAAAGGCUGGUUUACCCUUGACGCCCAGAUCGUCCUGCAGGUCCUGACGAAGCAGGAGAAGGCCGACCUCAAGUCGUGGGCCCACAGCUGGCCGGCCUGGAAGAAGCUCUACCCUUUACUCAGCACGCUCGUCAAGCACAAAAGUGUCUUUGUUGAUUUAGUAAAAGACAUAAAAGACGAGGUUUUGCCUCCUGAGGACGUGGAGUCCAGCUCGUCUGGCAGCUGCUCUGCCAUCUCCACCUCCAACUCGUCCUCAGUCGGCGUCUCGGUCUCGCCUUCGGACUGGAGGGUUGUGGAGGACUUGUCCCUGGUCCUCAAGCCGCUGGACGUGGCCUGCAGGACUCUGGCCAAGGAGAGCUUCCCCCGCCUGUCCCUCAUCAAGCCCAUCCUGACCGGCCUGCUGUCGCGCCACCUCGUCUCGCGGCCGGCCGACUCGUCGUCCGUCCUGAAGGAGGUGAAGAAGACGAUGAGGAGACACCUGUCCAGCUGCUAUGGGAGCCCGGCGGUGAGCCGGGCCCUGAGCGUGGCGUGCUGCCUCGACCCGCAGUUCCACGGCCUGAGGUUCAUGGAGGAGAAGGAGCAGGCGGCCACGUUCGACUGGCUGAAGGAAGAGACGGCGAGGAUCGUGAAGGAGGACCGGAGGGGUCGAGGUAAGAAGAGGAGCCCCUCCCCGGGCUCGCCGGAGUCCGACAGCGACUGCCUGCGGAGGAGCAAACGCCUCAAGGAGUCUCGGCCGAUCAGCUUCAAGGAAACGUCUGAAGAGGAGGAGGAGAGCGACGUGGGAGACCCCGACGAGUCGGAGGCCGCGGAGCCCGGGUGUCAGGGCGCGCUGUCCGGGAUGGAGUUCCUGCUGGGAGACCUGUUCAGCCCGGCGCCCAGCAGCAGGCACAGCUCCGUGGAGGAGGCCCUGGACAUGGAGAUGUCGGUGUUCAGGGCCGGCCGGGGGGCCUCGCUGGGCGUGGAGCCCCUGCAGUGGUGGAGGACCAAGGCGGGGCAGUUUCCUCUGCUGGCCGCCGCGGCCCGGGCCUACCUGGCCGCCCCGGCCGCGGCGGGGAACGCCGCGCUGGACUUCGUGGAGGACGGAGCCAGCUCCAGGAAGAGAUCCAACAUCCCGCCGGAGAGUCUGGACGCCAUCUUGUUUCUCCAUUACAACAACAUACCAGUGACCGAGAGCAGUUAUACGACGACCACGAUGAUGACCAUGACGGCGGCGGCGGUGAAGAGCGAAGACAAGAGCAGUGGGAGUUAAAAAGAUGCAAGUUUAGAGCUUUAACCACACUAUUUCCACCAGAACGUCACAAAUCCAACACCAACACCCGUCAAUAAAUUCCACUUACUGCUGAUGGAGCUGCUGUUGACAACAAUAACUUCUAUCCUGAAAAUACAGAAUAUCCUGGAAUCGACCCAAAUAUUCCUCCUGGUGUGUGAAGCAGACGCUGUUGUAGUGAGUUCAGAGUGGAAAAUGUGUGUAUGACAGAGAGAGAGCGACGGCACUCUGGAUUUCUAACUGUCCACGCCAUGAAGCGUCUUCUGACUGAUAAAUGUUCAAAUUUAUCUUUAUUGAAAACAUGCAAAUUCAUCAAUAAGCUAUCCAAAUGCAGUGGGGAUGCAGAUGAGAGGAAGAACUUCCUCAUUUCCUCCUUGUCGAGUUUUAGUUUUACGUUUAGACGCAAACGUGACAGAAUUCUGCCAGUUGUCAUGUUAGACUGAGGGCUUUAUAUUUGGGCUUUUAAUUUGAUAUACCUUUUUUUUUUUACCAUUUCUUGACAAGUAUAUGUAGCUGAUUACAAAUGUGUGUAAUCCAGGGUUAUGAUAGUUUUGAAUAUUUUCAUUAGUUUUUUCAUUUUUGUCAUUUUGACGUCAUGCCUCUAAUUUUAGUUUAGUUUUAGUUUUUAUUCAUGACUGCUAGAUUUUAGUUUUAUGUUUUGCGUAUUGGUUAGUCCAAAUUAUAGUUUUUUUUUUUUUAGUUUGUUUUUCAUUUCUAGUUUUCUCCAGUUAACCGUCCUGACCUUGAUUCCCACCAGAGCUGUUAGGCUGAACGUCCCAAGAAAAACGUUUUGGUUGAAGUCUGGACUCGUAGUUUUUAUGUUAGAAGAUAUAUUAACACAUUGAUUAUGUUACGUGGAUCAAUAUUUUUACCGCUGCACACCUUCAGUCCGUGUGUCGAUACAGAGUUUGGACCUUUUCAGCAUUCAGUGCCUUUUUCUGUAGUUUCAACAUGGAUUUUCCUGUUUUAUCCCGUUUCUUUUGAAGUCUGUUUGAAUGUCGUCCACAUCUCAUUUAUCAUUAUUAUUGAUAUUUUCCGUUAUUCAGACUAGAACAAAACAAAGACUGUUGGUUAUCUGCGAGGCGUGCUGCUUCUUAAAUAACCAGACAGGGCAGAAAUGAGUGAAUUAACCUGAAUGUAGAACAAACUAGGACUGGAGCUCAGAAUCUCAGCUGUUCCGUCGUGUUUCAGCGCAGGACUGUGGGUUGUUUACACAAACAGAAACUCGGUAGCACAAAGUGUGUGUUGUCCUAAACUGUGACGCUGUUUGAGUUCUGUCAUUCAUGCAACUGGUGUGAAGUAACUGUACCUGCUGCAGAAGAUUUUUAAUAAAAUGUACCUUCACUGGAUUCAUGUUUCUGG
ensembl:lncRNA